rnacentral:lncRNA from 1 species
CCGGGAGUAAAUGUGUUUCUUAUUUUGGAACCUUCUCACAGCAGAUAAGCAAGGCUUGAGCCAAAGUCCUCAGGACACCAAGGGAAGCUGGAACUGUAACACCAUCGCAAGGCUCACAAGCAAGCUGGCAUGGAGAAGGGGACCAGCUACACCUGGUUGAGGAGGAGUCGCGCAGAGUAUGCAGUGCAAUGUGCAUCCCCAGGGCAUUUGGAGGCAAUGAGUAUCAGCAGUCAGUGGAAGCGGUCCAGAUAUACAGCAAUGCAGCUGAACAAUAAUUUCACUCUUGAUGAUGGGGGAGCGAAAAUAGCCUGCAGCAGAUGUGAGGCUCAAUGUGUCAGCUCAACCUCAGGGGCAAGAAAAAGAGAAGUUGAAACUGGUUUCUUCCAUCUGAGAUGGCCACAGGCGAAGAGCAAACACACUUGGUCAAUUACCGUGGCUCAGAUGAUGCAUGGUAUUGCCAUUUUCAGGUCAAAUUUUAGAGUUAGUAGGAACUUUUCCAUGGGCUUUGUACAACAAUAUUCCACUGCGCACAGUGAGAAGUUUGAACACCCUUCGUUUCAGCGUCUAAUUUUGAGAUGAACUUGUAUCUUUCUUAAAAAAACAAAACAACAAGACCACCAAUAGCAAAAGAAAACCACCGGCCCCAAACUUUCACCUUUCUUCUCAGUAACUGAAACUCGAGUUCAUCUUUCUCUGCUUCCACGUAAUACAAGGAAAGACAUUUGAUUAGAUUAUGUGAGAUACUUUUUAAGGCAGAUGGAUUCAACACAUGGCUGCAGGACCAGGCUUUAUUAUCUCGACUAACGUGGACACAUUUUGAACACUGCUUCUCACUCUGCCAUCAGCCGCCACCACCUCUGCAGUACUGUGACAGCAAGAGAAAAAGGACAGGGAAGUGAUAAAGUUUGCACACGUAAGCAGAAAAGAACUUUCUGUCCAAAGCCAGCUGGCUUGGCUUGGCACUGAAGUGGCAUUUUAGCACAAGAUGACACGUUUAUGCGUGUACUGGAGCUAUGUUUCAAAACACUUGC